rnacentral:rRNA from 1 species
UACGUAGGUGGCAAGCGUUGUCCGGAAUUAUUGGGCGUAAAGCGCGCGCAGGCGGUCCUUUAAGUCUGAUGUGAAAGCCCACGGCUCAACCGUGGAGGGUCAUUGGAAACUGGGGGACUUGAGUACAGAAGAGAAGAGUGGAAUUCCACGUGUAGCGGUGAAAUGCGUAGAGAUGUGGAGGAACACCAGUGGCGAAGGCGACUCUUUGGGCCUUACCUGACGCUCAGGUGCGAAAGCUAGGGGAGCGAACAGG